rnacentral:rRNA from 1 species
GCGGACGGGUGAGCAAUGCCUAGGAAUCUGCCUGGUAGUGGGGGAUAACGUUCGGAAACGGACGCUAAUACCGCAUACGUCCUACGGGAGAAAGCAGGGGACCUUCGGGCCUUGCGCUAUCAGAUGAGCCUAGGUCGGAUUAGCUAGUUGGUGGGGUAAUGGCUCACCAAGGCGACGAUCCGUAACUGGUCUGAGAGGAUGAUCAGUCACACUGGAACUGAGACACGGUCCAGACUCCUACGGGAGGCAGCAGUGGGGAAUAUUGGACAAUGGGCGAAAGCCUGAUCCAGCCAUGCCGCGUGUGUGAAGAAGGUCUUCGGAUUUGUAAAGCACUUUAAGUUGGGAGGAAGGGCAGUAAAUUAAUACUUUGCUGUUUUGACGUUACCGACAGAAUAAGCACCGGCUAACUCUGUGCCAGCAGCCGCGGUAAUACAGAGGGUGCAAGCGUUAAUCGGAAUUACUGGGCGUAAAGCGCGCGUAGGUGGUUCGUCAAGUUGGAUGUGAAAUCCCCGGGCUCAACCUGGGAACUGCAUUCAAAACUGACGAGC